UACCAGACUCCUACGGGAGGCAGCAGUGGGGGAUAUUGCACAAUGGGGGGAACCCUGAUGCAGCGACGCCGCGUGGGUGAAGGAGCGUUUCGGCGCGUAAAGCCCUAUCGGCAGGGAAGAAGGAGGACGGUACCUGACUAAGAAGCCCCGGCUAACUACGGGCCAGCAGCCGCGGGAAUACGUAGGGGGCAAGCGUUAAUCGGAAUUACUGGGCGUAAAGCGCACGUAGGCUGUAUGACAAGUCAAGGGUGAAAUGCCACGGCUCAACCGUGGAACUGCCUUUGAAACUGUCAAACUGGAGUAUGUGAGAGGGCGGCGGAAUUCCUGGUGUAGGAGUGAAAUCCGUAGAUAUCAGGAGGAACAUCAGUUGCGAAGGCGGCCGCCUGGCACAUAACUGACGCUGAGGAGCGAAAGCGUGGGUAGCAAACAGGAUUAGAUACCCCAGUAC
rnacentral:rRNA from 1 species